rnacentral:rRNA from 1 species
UAGGGAAUCUUCGGCAAUGGGGGGAACCCUGACCGAGCAACGCCGCGUGAGUGAAGAAGGUUUUCGGAUCGUAAAGCUCUGUUGUUAAGGAAGAACGAGUGUGAGAAUGGAAAGUUCAUGCUGUGACGGUACUUAACCAGAAAGGGACGGCUAACUACGUGCCAGCAGCCGCGGUAAUACGUAGGUGGCAAGCGUUGUCCGGAUUUAUUGGGCGUAAAGCGAGCGCAGGCGGUCAAUUAAGUCUGAUGUGAAAGCCCCCGGCUCAACCGGGGAGGGUCAUUGGAAACUGGUUGACUUGAGUGCAGAAGAGGGGAGUGGAAUUCCAUGUGUAGCGGUGAAAUGCGUAGAUAUAUGGAGGAACACCAGUGGCGAAGGCGACUCUCUGGUCUGUAACUGACGCUGAGGCUCGAAAGCGUGGGUAGCAAACAGG